UACGAAGGGGGCGAGCGUUGUUCGGAAUUACUGGGCGUAAAGGGCGCGUAGGCGGCCGAGCAAGUUAGAUGUGAAAGUCCUGGGCUUAACCUGGGAACUGCAUCCGAUACUGGAUGGCUUGAAUCCGGGAGAGGGAUGCAGAAUUCCAGGUGUAGCGGUGAAAUGCGUAGAUAUCUGGAGGAAUACCGGUGGCGAAGGCGGCAUCCUGGACCGGCAUUGACGCUGAUGAGCGAAAGCUAGGGGAGCAAACGGG
rnacentral:rRNA from 1 species